GACGAACGCUGGCGGCGUGCUUAACACAUGCAAGUCGAACGGAAAGGCCCUGCUUUUGUGGGGUGCUCGAGUGGCGAACGGGUGAGUAACACGUGAGUAACCUGCCCUUGACUUUGGGAUAACUUCAGGAAACUGGGGCUAAUACCGGAUAGGAGCUCCUGCUGCAUGGUGGGGGUUGGAAAGUUUCGGCGGUUGGGGAUGGACUCGCGGCUUAUCAGCUUGUUGGUGGGGUAGUGGCUUACCAAGGCUUUGACGGGUAGCCGGCCUGAGAGGGUGACCGGCCACAUUGGGACUGAGAUACGGCCCAGACUCCUACGGGAGGCAGCAGUGGGGAAUAUUGCACAAUGGGCGGAAGCCUGAUGCAGCAACGCCGCGUUCGGGAUGACGGCCUUCGGGUUGUAAACCGCUUUCGCCUGUGACGAAGCGUGAGUGACGGUAAUGAGUAAAGAAGCACCGGCUAACUACGUG
rnacentral:rRNA from 1 species